rnacentral:rRNA from 1 species
GUGGGGAAUAUUGGACAAUGGGCGAAAGCCUGAUCCAGCCAUGCCGCGUGUGUGAAGAAGGUCUUCGGAUUGUAAAGCACUUUAAGUUGGGAGGAAGGGCAGUAAGUUAAUACCUUGCUGUUUUGACGUUACCAACAGAAUAAGCACCGGCUAACUUCGUGCCAGCAGCCGCGGUAAUACGAAGGGUGCAAGCGUUAAUCGGAAUUACUGGGCGUAAAGCGCGCGUAGGUGGUUCAGCAAGUUGAAGGUGAAAUCCCCGGGCUCAACCUGGGAACUGCCUCCAAAACUGCAUGACUAGAGUACGGUAGAGGGUAGUGGAAUUUCCUGUGUAGCGGUGAAAUGCGUAGAUAUAGGAAGGAACACCAGUGGCGAAGGCGACUACCUGGACUGAUACUGACACUGAGGUGCGAAAGCGUGGGGAGCAAACAGGAUUAGAUACCCUAGUAGUCC